rnacentral:tRNA from 1 species
GAGCGGCCGCGGCAGACUGGCAACGGCGUUCGCUUUGUAAUCGAAUGGUCCUGGGUUCGAUUCCCAUUUGCUCA